UAUAGUAAUUAACACCGGUUUGAACCGGUGCCAUUUAAAAUAAAGCCCGGUUUAAGGCGCGUCUUCUUCUUCAAUUCUUUUCCUUUCUCUUUCUUCUUCGUUCUCAUCUGAUCUGCCUCUAUCUUUCCUCCAUUGUAGCGUAAUCGAAUUUCUCCAUUAAAGGGGCUUUUGAGCUUUCCUAACACUACAUCUCUCUCUUUCGAUGUCCUUCUCCAUAACCGUCCCUUUCCCUUUCCUUUCUUCUCUCUUUCGAUCUCCUUCUCCUUCUCCUUCCCUCAUUCUACAAUAUUAGAGGUUUGGGUUUCUGGGUUCGUCUAUUUGAUCAAUUCGAUGUGCGUGCGUCUUCAACUACAACAAAUUCGAAUCAAUUUCGAACCAAAAAUCAGAAAUUCGAGGUUUGGGUUUCUGGGUUUUUUAGCUUUGCGUUAUAUUGUAGCAGUUCUGAGCUUUCUCCUACAUUGAAACAACUUUUAAGUAUGCAGAUAGAAAAUGUGUUCAGCGCUGGUGCAAUGAGAAAGGAGACAUAACAUUGCCACCAGGCAUGCUAAAAGUAUUCUUAUUUAUACAUUUCAUCUGACAAAUGGCUGUGAAUUGGAGUAUUUCGUAAUUCAUGCUGAUUGUUUUGGUUGUGGCAAUUGCUCCUAUAACCUUUAACCUUAAGAGUAAAAGUACAGAGUACUAUGUUUAGGAGAUCUUUUAGGCCAUUGUGGUCUUCUUAAUUUAGUUCAGCAUCUAAAUUCAGGUUUGUUUGUUUUAAUUCAAUGUUCAUUUAUUUUUUAUUAAUUUGCUAUCAUUUAAAUUCAAUUUCAUUUUUAGAGCAUUA